rnacentral:rRNA from 1 species
UACGGGGGGAGCAAGCGUUGUUCGGAUUUACUGGGCGUAAAGGGCGCGUAGGCGGCCUCCGCAAGUCAGUUGUGAAAUCUCCGAGCUUAACUCGGAAAGGUCAACUGAUACUGCGGGGCUAGAGUGCGGAAGGGGCAACUGGAAUUCUUGGUGUAGCGGUGAAAUGCGUAGAUAUCAAGAGGAACACCUGCGGCGAAGGCGCUCUGCUGGACCAUAACUGACACUCAGGGACGAAAGCUAGGGGAGCGAAUGGG